rnacentral:rRNA from 1 species
UACGGAGGGGGCUAGCGUUGUUCGGAAUUACUGGGCGUAAAGCGCACGUAGGCGGUUUUUUAAGUCAGAGGUGAAAGCCCGGAGCUUAACUCCGGAAUUGCCUUUGAGACUGGGAGACUUGAAUCCAGGAGAGGUGAGUGGAAUUCCGAGUGUAGAGGUGAAAUUCGUAGAUAUUCGGAAGAACACCAGUGGCGAAGGCGGCUCACUGGACUGGUAUUGACGCUGAGGUGCGAAAGCGUGGGGAGCAAACAGG